AUUGAACGCUGGCGGCAUGCCUUACACAUGCAAGUCGAACGGCAGCACGGGAGCAAUCCUGGUGGCGAGUGGCGAACGGGUGAGUAAAGCAUCGGAACGUACCUGGUAGUGGGGGAUAGCCCGGCGAAAGCCGGAUUAAUACCGCAUACGACCUGAGGGUGAAAGCGGGGGAUCGCAAGACCUCGCGCUAUUGGAGCGGCCGAUGUCAGAUUAGCUAGUUGGUGGGGUAAAGGCCUACCAAGGCGACGAUCUGUAGCUGGUCUGAGAGGACGACCAGCCACACUGGGACUGAGACACGGCCCAGACUCCUACGGGAGGCAGCAGUGGGGAAUUUUGGACAAUGGGCGCAAGCCUGAUCCAGCCAUGCCGCGUGCGGGAAGAAGGCCUUCGGGUUGUAAACCGCUUUUGUCAGGGAAGAAAUCUUCUGGGUUAAUACCUCGGGAGGAUGACGGUACCUGAAGAAUAAGCACCGGCUAACUACGUGCCAGCAGCCGCGGUAAGAC
rnacentral:rRNA from 1 species